rnacentral:miRNA from 1 species
UUGCCAUACAUAGACUUUAUU